AUGCAUAUCUGGCAAUCCAUGAUUUUCCCUGUCAAGCGUCUUUGCCUUGCUCUCUCCACUCGCAUCAAACACCGCAAAAACGGAGCAGGAUUGGUGAAGCUUAGGGAUGAUGUACAAACUUGUGAAUAUGAGGAUGUACAAGUCAUGUGGGAAAUGUUACAGAAAACAGAAACUGAAGUCUUACACAACAACAAGCGUCCUUUCUGGAGAGUCUUUGUAUGGUCCAAUUCAUCACAAUCUUCAAAUCACACUGCAUAA